rnacentral:lncRNA from 1 species
CUCGUACUGGACUUCAGGAAUUUGAACACUCGAGGCACCCUUUCUGGGGCUGGGUUCAGCACUUUCACAUUGACUGGAUGCUACCUCAAUUGGUGCUGCCUUUUGUUUGUUCUUUCUGCUUUGCUUCUUAGGUACAUCCACUUUAUUGCUCCCUUUUCCAUCAGCAAGAACAGAGGAUGAUACUGUUGAUUGGACCGUUUCUACAGGGACACCAAGCUCAGCAAGUGACUUCUCCAAUGCUGACUUUGUCUGAAGCUUAGCAAUUUGCUGGUUAUCAAGAGUCUUCCCCUCGAAUCGCUUCUCUUCAAGCAUCU